UCUUUGUUAUUUGAAUCCUAUCACAGAAAACUGGAUAAAAAACCCUCACUUAGAGAACACAUACCAGAAUAGGUUACCAUGGGAUAGAUGACUGGCAAGAAACUCACAAAACUGAAGAACUCAAAAGACCAUUCUUAUUCAUCAUAGUAAAGAAAUCAGAUGUAAGCACUCGGCUACUGUUAUAGUAAUAUGCUGUCCUUCCUACUACUUUGUUCCCUGCCAAGCUGGUCAUGGAUUCUAAGCCUCUCAAAUAGUAACAGCUUUGUUCCUCAUGGCUUGAGACACAUACUGUGUAAACAAACAUUAGAUGAAGUAGAAAGAAACUUCUCAGAGAACUCACCUGUGCUGAAGAUGACAUCUUCCAUCAAGAUUCUAGGCAUGAACUCCAAGACAACUAUCAAAUAAAGAGGGUCCUUUUACUAUCCCCUUUCUUCGGGCUGAAUCCAAGACAUGAGAACACUGGUGAAAGCCAGCUGGAAGAAGCAUCGGUAUGUGUGUGGUAUACACACUUGAAUUCAUACUACCAUAAGUGUGCUAGUGCUCUAUGGAUGAACUCCCCACCAAAAUACAGUAGUAGUUAUAUUUAGUUUGAUGGACCAGUAAGAUGGAGAUAGAAAUUUAGCUCUUCAUUUUCUGCUCAUUUGGGUAUAAUACCUGUUCGUUUG